GGAAAAGCAGCCAACAAGUGCUCAGCAUAUGUGGGAACUACUUCAAGACUGUUGGAAAAGCAUUCCAGGCCAGUGCCCCACCCUGAACCUGAUGAUAAGGACCCGGGGCAACGUGACAUCGGUGAACAAGCAGGCGGUGAGCUCCCGGGUCAGCACCAUGAGGGAGUACUCCCACCCCUCCUCAGCCCACAGGGUUACAACCCAAGCCAGGUGAGGGCGGUGAGAAAACAGUAUGUCCAUCAUCAGAAACCAGCAACGCACCCCCAAAAUCUGCCUGAUACACGGACCCCCAGGAACAGGAAAGAGCAAAACCAUUGUGGGCCUGCUGCAAAAAACAUUUGCUGAGUACCAUGAGCUGGCAGAGAAAGUACAGACUGCUCCGAGAGAGACAGACUCGGCUACGAGCUAAAACAGAUCUCGCUUUCUCUUCUAUUUCCUGGCUCUUUUUCUUGACCUCUUUCCUCUUCUUCCUUUCCUGUCUUUCUCCCAUAGUCUUGCAUUAGGAAGCAGGAGACCCAGCCCUGUGUCUUACAGGAUACGCAUGUGGUCUGCUGCACCCAGAGCACGAGCUGCAGCUCCGCCCUGGAGUCGGCCCUCCAGUGCCUGGGACAUGAGCCCUUCAGUUGCAUCAUCGUGGACGUGCCUAACCUGGCCAAACCUGGACGACACUGGGCCAAUUGUGCGCUGCCCUAUGGGACUCCCAAUCACGGCUGGAUGUGAUACACCCUGGAUUCAAACCAAGGAUUGUAGUGACGCCUUUUGCAUUGAGAUGCAGUGCCUUAGACCGCUGCGCCACUCAGGAACACCAGUCUUACCCAGUUUGACUGAAUCUCCUCUACUCGAUCUGUAUGAAUGUGAGGACCAACCCCUUGUCUUUGUGUUUGUUGUGUCUCCAUGGCACUGUGUGCAGGCAGGGCAGACCACUGAGACGGAGACACUCAUUCCCAUGCUCUACCUCAUCCUUGUGGGAGACCCUGAUCAGCUGCACCCUACUGUCAUCUCUGAGGUACUGCAGCUUUCACUUCAGACCUGAGCCCUAGGACCAUGCCUCAGGACUACCUGGUAUGAUGACUCCUUGCUGUCCCCAGUCCACCUGGCCGUGCUGCUGCUCCAGUUUCAACUGUUCUGCCUGCGGCUAUGGAACCCUGACCUGUUCACCGGACGUGCUUGUUGCACCCUCGACAACUACUAUGAUUAUUAUUAUUUGACCAUGCUGGUCAUUUAUGAACAUUUUAACAUUUUAACAUCUUGACCAUGUUCUGUUAUAAUAUCCACCCUGCACAGCCAGAAGAGGACUGGCCACCCCUCAUAGCCUGGUUCCUCUCUAGGUUUCUUCCUAGGUUUUUGGCCUUUCUAGGGAGUUUUUCCUAGGGAGUUUUUCCUAGCCACCGUGCUUCUUUCACAUGCUUUGCUUGCUGUUUGGGGUUUUAGGCUGGGUUUCUGUACAGCACUUUGAGAAUAUCAGCUGAUGUACGAAGGGCUAUAUAAAAAUAAAUUUGAUUUGAUUUGAUUUGAUCAUUUUGGAGUCACUUUUAUUGUAAAUAAGCAUAGAAUAUGUUUCUGAACAAUUCU
rnacentral:lncRNA from 1 species